AACAAAGCGAAAAUGAGGCCUAGUACAAAAGCUAGAUCCGGCAUAAGAGAGUUGACGGUAGGUGCGAGUCAACCCGAUUCUUUUUGGAACUCCCCUCAUUGCUUUUUUGCUGAAGACUUUCGUUGUGUAGGCAAAAGCGUCUGUCCACGUUACGGAAAAGGAAGGGAGUAGGGCACUGGGUAACAUUUCAUCAUGUUAAACAGUUGCUUUGCUAACUAGGGUGGUACCGCGAGAAGAAAAACAACCUCUCGUCCCUAGC
rnacentral:ncRNA from 1 species